GGCCCAGUGGCAUAUGGUAUGCGUCUGCCAUUGAUGAUGCGAAUAUUUUCAGAAGUAUAAGCAGAUAACCCGGUUCGACUCCGGGCUGGGCCA